rnacentral:rRNA from 1 species
GACGAACGCUGGCGGCGUGCUUAACACAUGCAAGUCGAACGGUGAAGCGAGUGCUUGCACUCGUGGAUCAGUGGCGAACGGGUGAGUAACACGUGAGUAACCUGCCCAUCACUCUGGGAUAAGCACUGGAAACGGUGUCUAAUACUGGAUACGACCAACCCUUGCAUGGGGUGUUGGUGGAAAGAUUUAUCGGUGAUGGAUGGACUCGCGGCCUAUCAGCUUGUUGGCGGGGUAAUGGCCCACCAAGGCGACGACGGGUAGCCGGCCUGAGAGGGUGACCGGCCACACUGGGACUGAGACACGGCCCAGACUCCUACGGGAGGCAGCAGUGGGGAAUAUUGCACAAUGGGCGAAAGCCUGAUGCAGCGACGCCGCGUGAGGGAUGACGGCCUUCGGGUUGUAAACCUCUUUCAGCAGGGAAGAAGCGAAAGUGGCGGUACCUGCAGAAGAAGCACCGGCUAACUACGUG